rnacentral:lncRNA from 1 species
CACAAUUUUUCCCACAUCACUCCCACUACAGUCAGCCAUUGCCCUGCCUGUUCAGGAGGACUUGCAAGAGACUAAGCCUGCUGCUUCUGCCAUGGCAUAGGACAACCAGGAGAAGAAAAAAACUUGCUGGAAUGUACAGGCUGUCUAGAAGAAAAAUGGCUUUUUUCUUACCUGAGAGAAGAGCUGAGGAAGCACAAGAGAAGCUUGGUAAUUUGCAUUAA